rnacentral:misc_RNA from 1 species
GAUGAAGAACGUAGCGAAAUGGGAUAAGUAAUGUGAAUUGCAGAAUUCAGUGAAUCAUCGAAUCUUUGAACGCACAUUGCGCCCCCUGGUAUUCCGGGGGGCAUGCCUGUUCGAGCGUCAUUUCACCACUCAAGCCUCGCUUGGUAUUGGGCAACGCGGUCCGCCGCGUGCCUCAAAUCGACCGGCUGGGUCUUCUGUCCCCUAAGCGUUGUGGAAACUAUUCGCUAAAGGGUGUUCGGGAGGCUACGCCGUAAAACAACCCCAUUUCUAAGGUUGACCUCGGAUCAGGCAGGGAUACCCGCUGAACUUAAGCAUAUCAAUAAGCGGAGGA